rnacentral:lncRNA from 1 species
CCCUCCCCCAGCCUCGCUGCCGCCUUGCAGUUUGAUCUCAGACUGCUGUGCUAUCAAUCAGUGAGACUCCGUGGGCGUAGGACCCUCCAAGCCAGGUGCCGGAUAUAAUCUCGUGGUGCGCCGUUUUUUAAGCCCGUCGGAAAAGCGCAGUAUUCGGGUGGAAGUGGCCCGAUUUUCCAGGUGCGUCCGUCACCCCUUUCUUUGACUCGGAAAGGGAACUCCCUGACCCCUUGCGCUUCCCAAGUGAGGCAAUGCGUCACCCUGCUUCGGCUCGCGCACGGUGCGUGCACCCACUGACCUGCGACCACUGUCUGGCACUCCCUAGUGAGAUGAACCCUGUACCUCAGAUGGAAAUGCAGAAAUCACCCGUCUUCUGCGUCGCUCAUGCUGGGAGCUGUAGACUGGAGCUGUUCCUAUUCGGCCAUCUUGGCUCUUCCCCCGUUUUACAAUUUAAAGGUAAAGACCUUCACAAUCGGGAACCCGUAGAUUGGAUCUUCUGAAAACAUCAGAGAAAGACUAUCUUUGCCAUCCACACUACAGUAAAACUUUGGAGCCUUGAACCUUGGAUUUAUAAUCUCACAACUGAGAAGGGUCCCUCCAUACUCCUGGAACUGUACACCCAUUGGAACUCUUAAGGAUGAUAUACAUGGCCAGGUGAAGACAGUAGAGAGAAAACAGAACUGAAACGUUGGCAAGCUUGGGCUUGAAGUUUUUGGUGACACAAGACUGGCUUCUACUUCAGGAGACCAACUUCUUUUUCACAUAGCUCCAAUUUUCAGAGGAGGUAAGAAUCAGCAGAAAAGAAGGAAUCUUUGGAGAGCCAAAACCAUCUCUACACCAAAUUGAGAGACUGGAAUUAUAAGGUGAAUGCAAUUAACUGGCAGUCGCAUCCAUGUUGAGAACACAGUCAUCCCUUUAAUAGAGAACAUUUGCUGUGCUUGACAAACUCACAGUGAAAUGGUUGGAUCCAUAGGAAGCAACAUGCUGAAAAUGGUUUCAAUAUGAUCCUGUUUUUUCACUCAAUAGCCAUUGAUUGAGGGUGUCCAGCCAAAAACAAUGAGAAAAUGAGCCAACAAUAGUCUUACCCUUUGACCAUAUUAGAUAAAGUCGCAGCUGAAAUUUGUUAUAUGUUUCAGGAAUAACAAAGCAUCCAUAUGGAACAUAUAUUUGGCAGUGUGGCAGCUGAUGAAACCAGGAAAAUUAGACAAAUUAUCAAUUGCUCGCUCCCAAAUUACCCCAAAAAGAAAUUAGAUCCAUUUUCAGUAGCUUUGCCUUCAAAUUUCUUCAUUCCGUGAGUCACCACUACCUUCUGCCAAACUAAAUAUGUCUAUGAACGGCUGGAAACUUUAAUGGAAAGAAACAUAAAACUCAAACUACGUAGGAAAAUUUAAGCUUCUUCAUGGAAGAUCUUCGUGGAAGACUAGCAAGUUAGGAAUGUGUGAAGACAGACAACACAUCGAUAAUUCCUUUUGUUUGGGGUCACUUCUGAGUUAGAGAGCAAUGCAAC